GACGAACGCUGGCGGCGUGCUUAACACAUGCAAGUCGAACGGAAAGGCCCUGCUUUUGUGGGGUGCUCGUGUGGCGAACGGGUGAGUAACACGUGAGUAACCUGCCCUUGACUUUGGGAUAACUUCAGGAAACUGGGGCUAAUACCGGAUAGGAGCUCCUGCUGCAUGGUGGGGGUUGGAAAGUUUCGGCGGUUGGGGAUGGACUCGCGGCUUAUCAGCUUGUUGGUGGGGUAGUGGCUUACCAAGGCUUUGACGGGUAGGCGGCCUGAGAGGGUGACCGGCCACAUUGGGACUGAGAUACGGACCAGACUCCUACGGGAGGCAGCAGUGGGGAAUAUUGCACAAUGGGCGGAAGCCUGAUGCAGCAACGCCGAGUGCGGGAUGACGGCCUUCGGGUUGUAAACCGCUUUCGCCUGUGACGAAGCGUGAGUGACGGUAAUGGGUAAAGAAGCAACGGCUAACUACGUG
rnacentral:rRNA from 1 species